UACGGAGGAUGCGAGCGUUAUCCGGAUUUAUUGGGUUUAAAGGGUGCGUAGGCGGAUCGUUAAGUCAGUGGUCAAAUUGAGGGGGCUCAACCCCUUCCCGCCAUUGAAACUGGCGAUCUUGAGUGGAAGAGAAGUAUGCGGAAUGCGUGGUGUAGCGGUGAAAUGCAUAGAUAUCACGCAGAACCCCGAUUGCGAAGGCAGCAUGCCGGCUUCCUACUGACGCUGAAGCACGAAAGCGUGGGGAUCGAACAGG
rnacentral:rRNA from 1 species